UUCCGGUUGAUCCCGCCGGAGGUUACUGCUAUCGAGGUUCGACUAAGCCAUGCGAGUCGAAUGUAGCAAUACAUGGCGAACUGCUCAGUAACACGUGGACAACCUGCCCUUAGGACGGGGAUAAACCCGGGAAACUGGGUAUAAUACCCGAUAGGUCUCGAUUGCUGGAAUGCAUCGAGAUUUAAAGCUCCGGCGCCUAAGGAUGGGUCUGCGGCCUAUCAGGUAGUAGUGGGUGUAGCGUACCUACUAGCCUACGACGGGUACGGGUUGUGAGAGCAAGAGCCCGGAGAUGGAUUCUGAGACACGAAUCCAGGCCCUACGGGGUGCAGCAGGCGCGAAAACUUUACAAUGCUGGCAACAGCGAUAAGGGAACCUCGAGUGCCAGGUUACAAAUCUGGCUGUCGAGAUGCCUAAAAAGCAUUUCAUAGCAAGGGCCGGGCAAGACCGGUGCCAGCCGCCGCGGUAACACCGGCGGCUCGAGUGGUAACCGUUAUUAUUGGGUCUAAAGGGUCUGUAGCCGGCCGGAUAAGUCUCUUGAGAAAUCUGGCAGCUUAACUGUCAGGCUUUCAGGAGAUACUGUCUGGCUCGAGGCCGGGAGAGGUGAGAGGUACUUCAGGGGUAGGGGUGAAAUCUUGUAAUCCUUGAAGGACCACCAGUGGCGAAGGCGUCUCACCAGAACGGACCUGACGGCAAGGGACGAAAGCUAGGGGCACGAACCGGAUUAGAUACCCGGGUAGUCCUAGCCGUAAACGAUACUCGCUAGGUGUCGGCCACGGUGCGACCGUUGUCGGUGCCGUAGGGAAGCCGUGAAGCGAGCCACCUGGGAAGUACGGCCGCAAGGCUGAAACUUAAAGGAAUUGGCGGGGGAGCACCACAACGGGUGGAGCUUGCGGUUUAAUUGGAUUCAACGCCGGA
rnacentral:rRNA from 2 species